CCUACGGGAGGCUGCAGUGGGGAAUAUUGGACAAUGGGGGCAACCCUGAUCCAGCCAUGCCGCGUGUGUGAAGAAGGCCCUCGGGUUGUAAAGCACUUUCAGUGAGGAAGAACGCCUGGUGGUUAAUACCCAUCAGGAAAGACAUCACUCACAGAAGAAGCACCGGCUAACUCCGUGCCAGCAGCCGCGGUAAUACGGAGGGUGCGAGCGUUAAUCGGAAUUACUGGGCGUAAAGCGCGCGUAGGUGGCUUGAUAAGCCGGUUGUGAAAGCCCCGGGCUCAACCUGGGAACGGCAUCCGGAACUGUCAAGCUAGAGUGCAGGAGAGGAAGGUAGAAUUCCCGGUGUAGAGGUGAAAUGCGUAGAGAUCGGGAGGAAUACCAGUGGCGAAGGCGGCCUUCUGGACUGACACUGACACUGAGGUGCGAAAGCGUGGGUAGCAAACAGGAUUAGAUACCCUAGUAGUC
rnacentral:rRNA from 1 species